rnacentral:rRNA from 1 species
UACGUAGGGGGCUAGCGUUGUCCGGAAUCAUUGGGCGUAAAGCGCGCGUAGGCGGUCAGGAAAGUCCGGUGUGAAAGUCAUAGGCUCAACCUAUGGAUGCCGCUGGAAACUGCCUGACUUGAGUCCGGAAGGGGCGAGUGGAAUUCCUGGUGUAGCGGUGAAAUGCGCAGAUAUCGGGAGGAGCACCGGCGGCGAAGGCGGCUGCCUGGACCAGUCCUGACGCUGAGGCGCGAAAGCUAGGGGAGCAAACAGG